rnacentral:tRNA from 1 species
UGGGGAUUCGUCUAGCGGUAGGACAACGGACUCUGGAUCCGUUUGGGGAGGUUCGAAUCCUCCAUCCCCAG